rnacentral:ncRNA from 2 species
UCUUCGCGCCGUUAUCAGGGUUCCGAGGAAAAAUAAUUUCCAGGAUUAAAAGGGAAGUCCGGUUGAAUUCCGGCGCUAUCCCCGUAGCUGUAAGUUCAGGAUCAUGCAUCCAGGCGUCAACCCUCCAGCCACUGUCCGCAAAGGACGGGAAGGCCGUUGACAGGAACAAGCCAGAAGACCUGCCUUGAAACAUUUUAACCA